ensembl:lncRNA
CGUCUCUUAGAAAUUUUAAUUUUCUGCACAUUGUUCUUUGAUAUUCUCCUGAAGUUCCCAGGGAAAACAUCCCCCACAGAGAAGUCCAGAUUCAUGCAGGCUUAUAAGGAUCUCCUGAGAGUCACUAGAGAAAAUGCAGGAAGGCUGCACUUCCAUGAAAGGCCUGGGUAAUUUUAAUGGUCAUGGGCUAUUUUAAUGAUAGGAUGGAUGACUUCAGCUGAGUAUGGAAUUCCAAGUGUGCAGAACUGGGAUGAUCCUGAGAAGGACUCUGUGCCUGGCUGGAAUUGUGCUGGAAAAUUGCACUGGUGUGAGGAUGGUGGUGUAUGACCAUGGCAUCAAGCAAAAGCAGAGGAAGCUGAGGUGCUCUCCAAGAACCAGGACCUGGAGUGAAGCAGGAGUGACAGACAACACCUGCUGUGCAGGCAGAAGGGACAGGGAAUAUUCAUGUAAUCUUAACAAAAACAACUCAGUGCAUAUGUUAUCCAUAAUUCAUGUCCUUCUCUGGCUGCACUGAGGGAUUCUUCUGCUGAGAUGGUGCUGGAUGCUUCUGAAUGCUCUUGGUACUUGAACAUAAAACGUGGCAUGAAUAUACCAGUAUGGGUUGAUGAAACCUGUCCAAGGCACUGCCUUGCCAGUCCUAUGCAAAAGGCAAAAGACUUGCCUUUUGUCCUAUUAUUUAGGAACAGCAUUUUUAUAAUUCAUUAGAAUCAUCUCACUUGAAGCGUGGAAUCAAAUUUUUUGUGAGUAAAGGUGUCACAAUAAUAGCCCAGAGCAAUAGACUUGGAUCUAGUGAAACAAACCAAAGGCUUCCUUCUACUGUCAUCCAAGAAGGAAAGGGAAGUAAUUUUUAAUCAUCUUAUGUAGAAAGAAGAAGAAGGAACAAAACAAUGGAAUCCAGUUCACAAGUGCCCGAUUGUAAUCAAUGGACUGGAGUUCAAGGGUCACUUACCUGGACUUAGUGUCAUCAAACUUCUUUCAAAUCACUGAUUUCUCAGAGUAGGUGUAGUUAGGGAGCCACUAACCAAAAAGAUCACCUAUUUCAUAGUGAUGUAAUGCUACAGAGGCAGUCACUGGGCUGUGUGAUUUCAGGGCAAUCUGUGACAGAGGAUGGUGUUUUGUGCUGGGGGCUUCAGCAAUCCCAAGGAAAACAAACAAUGUCCCGAGCCCACAAUCAGGUCAGGAGAUCAGGCAGAACUAGACACUGGCAGUGGGAACUGGCUGUGAAUACCAGCUUUGGUUAUUAAUAAGAUUACAGCUGUACCACUUGUUUUGGUACAAGGGAAAAGAUGAGCCUCAUGUGAUAUUGUCCAAACAGUGGAAAAAGAUCCAAAUAUGUUUUGCACAUGCAGCAAAAAAAAGACCAAAAGGAGUAAAUGUCUUUUCCUUCACUUGUACAACAGGGAUUCACAGAAGAACAGGUUCUUGACAGACCAAACCAGCCCCAAGAUACUUUCCAUGUUGUAACCUUUUAUUUCUACCUCAUUGGUGACUGAUCUGCUAUGUGUCAAACUGAAUGCCACUGCCUGGACAUAGAACAUUGUAAGCAAUUAUUUGGUAAUAAAACCCUCCUUACCUAAUUUUAUGAAUAAUGG